rnacentral:rRNA from 1 species
GACGAACGCUGGCGGCGUGCUUAACACAUGCAAGUCGAACGGUGAAGCGCCUUCCUUUUUGGUGGGUGUGGAUGAGUGGCGAACGGGUGAGUAACACGUGAGUAACCUGCCCCCUUCUUCUGGAUAACCGCAUGAAAGUGUGGCUAAUACGGGAUAUUCUGGGUCUGUCGCAUGAUGGGUCUGGGAAAGAUAUUGUUUCGGUGGGGGAUGGGCUCGCGGCCUAUCAGCUUGUUGGUGGGGUGAUGGCCUACCAAGGCGGUGACGGGUAGCCGGCCUGAGAGGGUGGACGGUCACACUGGGACUGAGACACGGCCCAGACGCCUACGGGAGGCAGCAGUGGGGAAUAUUGCACAAUGGGCGCAAGCCUGAUGCAGCGACGCCGCGUGAGGGAUGGAGGCCUUCGGGUUGUGAACCUCUUUCGCCAGUGAAGCAGGCCUGCCUCGUUUGUGGGUGGGUUGACGGUAGCUGGAUAAGAAGCGCCGGCUAACUACG